rnacentral:tRNA from 1 species
GCCUCGAUAGCUCAGUAGGGAGAGCGUUAGACUGAAGAUCUAAAUGUCGCUGGUUC